CCUACGGGAGGCAGCAGUGAGGAAUAUUGGUCAAUGGGCGCUAGCCUGAACCAGCCAAGUAGCGUGAAGGAUGAAUGCCCUACGGGUCGUAAACCUCUUUUAUAUGGGAGUAAAGUGCAGUAUGUAUACUGCUUUGCAUGUUCCUUAUGAAUAAGGCACGGCGAACUCCGUGCCAGCAGCCGAGGGAAUACGGAGGAUCCGAACCUUAUCCGGAUUUAUUGGGUUUAAAGGGUGCGUAGGCGGGCUUUUAAGUCAGCGGUAAAAAUUCGGGGCUCAACCCCGUCCGGCCGUUGAAACUGGGGGCCUUGAGUGGGCGAGAAGAAGGCGGAAUGCGUGGUGUAGCGGUGAAAUGCAUAGAUAUCACGCAGAACCCCGAUUGCGAAGGCAGCCUUCCGGCGCCCUACUGACGCUGAGGCACGAAAGUGCGGGGAUCGAACAGGAUUAGAUACCCGAGUAGUC
rnacentral:rRNA from 1 species